CCCGUGUUAGCAGAGUUCUUGCUGCAGUUAGAACCAGCUCUGAGCAAACUCCUCAGAUAUAUGUCCUAACCACACGCGCUUGGUUGAAAGCACAGUUUUAAAGAGAAAAGCAAAAAGUAGUACAGUUACUCAAACAACUCAGACCCAGAGAAUGAGCAAGGAGGAGUGGCUUGCAAUGCCAGAUCGCAAGCCUGGGUCUUACUGUUGAGACCAGAGGAACGGGAUCUUGGCCAGCCCUCUUCAACAGAUGCAAGCAGUAAGUGCCAGGAGUCCCGAGCUUCGGCCCCUCCGGCUCCUCCGCAUACCCCAGCACUCACCUGCGAUUCCCUGUAGGAGCCCGCAGACGUUGAAAAUGCUUUUCCUCAUGAUGCUUUGCACGCACAUGGUGAAGACGGACACCAAGGCCACUACGCAGAGAAUGAAGAUCCCCACGGCCAGGAAAAUAGCGGUAGCCUGCCAGAAGCCGCUGGCUAUCUCCCCGAAGCUCUUGGCGUAGGUCCCGCACAGUGUGUCCCGAGAGACUUGCUGCAUGGCAGGGGUACGGAUGCAGAGGAUGCCCAGGUAGUGGGGCUCCGAGUUCAUGCCUGCCUGCUCAUCGCCACUGCCGCUGCGGGUCUUGGCUUUCCCGAUCAGCCAGUCGGCGCUCAUGAAGGCAACGAGCUCAGCAAAGGCCACCACGAUACUCAGGAGGGUCCAGAGCAUCGAGCGGCAGGUGACAAUGACAUGACACAUAUUGAUGUUCACGGUGGGAAAGCGAGGCUGGAGUCCACUGGGUCAAUCCAGAAAGACAGCUGUAAGUAGCGAGGAGGUCCGGGAAGGAAGUCUCGGCGAGGGUCGCUCAGUCCGGUCCGAGGCAGCAGAAGCAGUGAGGUCUGGAUCCCGGGCUGUCGGCAUUCAGACUGAGUGCUGAGUCCCAGCGGCCAGCAGCCUCACCUAUGUCCAGAGAGGAGGAGGGUGAGCGGCUGGCCAGGCCCCGCCCCGCCCCGCGCCACCCCCACCCGGGACGCCCGCCACCUUCCCGCCCACCUUCCCGCGCUCAGCUCCUAGCCAGAUGGCCCCGGGCGUUUUCUGGAUGCCAUUGUUCCUCAUUUUUUGAGGCAGCACUGAGUGGCAGGCGGUGGGGAACCUUAUCAGGCUCCCGACAGCCCUCUGCCACUCGCUACCUGGGACACUACCCCAGCAGCCAACCGUUACGGAGAGAUGCAGGCACGGCCCGCAGAGAACUUUGUCAACGCCCUGACUGCCUGCUCCCUGGAGAGUUUGUGAGGCAGUGGCCACUGCUGUGCUUGCACAUAUGCCAAGUUUCUCUAAAACACCGACAGUUCUGGCUAUUGAACAGGAGAGAGUAAAAAAAAAAUCUUCAACUGCCUGGAAAUCAAAUUACCAGCAAAGUAUUUGGUUCCUAGCUGAGUAAAGGAUGAGAGGGGAAAUGAUCUCGGGAGAAAGAAUAAACAAGACAUUGCUGCCC
rnacentral:lncRNA from 1 species